AGCAUGUUGUGCAGCCAAGGAUGACUUGCCGACUCUCUUUCUUCUUAUUUAUUUGGAUUGGAUCUAUCUCCGUGUAUGUUAAAUUAAUGGAAAUAGUGAAGUUGGCAAGUUGUUCUUGGCUACAUGCUUCUUUCC
rnacentral:pre_miRNA from 1 species